rnacentral:rRNA from 1 species
AACGUAGGACACAAGCGUUAUCCGGAGUUACUGGGCGUAAAGGGCGUGUAGGCGGACCUAUAAGUCUAUUCUGAAAGCUCCUGGCUAAACUGGGAGGAGGCGAAUGGAGACUGUAGAUCUAGAGUGAGGAAGAGGAAAGUGGAAUUCCGCGUGUAGUGGUGAAAUGCGUAGAGAUGCGGAAGGAACACCAGUGGCGAAAGCGACUUCUGGUCCUUAACUGACGCUGAGGCGCGAA